UACGUAGGGGGCAAGCGUUGUCCGGAAUCAUUGGGCGUAAAGCGCGUGUAGGCGGUUCGGUAAGUCUGCUGUGAAAACCUAAGGCUCAACCUUGGGCUUGCAGUGGGUACGGGCAGACUAGAGUACAGUAGAGGAUAGUGGAAUUUCCGGUGUAGCGGUGAAAUGCGUAGAUAUCGGAAGGAACACCAGUGGCGAAGGCGACUAUCUGGACUGAUACUGACACUGAGGAGCGAAAGCGUGGGGAGCGAACAGG
rnacentral:rRNA from 1 species